ensembl:ribozyme
AGCUGCCAUAAUGGCCAUAGCAGAAGCGUUCACAAUGUGGCCUCUGUCAGAUUCCAGUGAAUCUGAGAAUUCUGCU